UGCAGUCGANGGCAGCACGGGGGCACCCUGGUGGCGAGUGGCGAACGGGUGAGUAACAUAUCGGAACGUGCCCUGGAGUGGGGGAUAACUAGUCGAAAGAUUAGCUAAUACCGCAUACGAUCUACGGAUGAAAGUGGGGGAUCGCAAGACCUCAUGCUCGUGGAGCGGCCGAUAUCUGAUUAGCUAGUUGGUGGGGUAAAGGCCUACCAAGGCAUCGAUCAGUAGCUGGUCUGAGAGGACGACCAGCCACACUGGGACUGAGACACGGCCCAGACUCCUACGGGAGGCAGCAGUGGGGAAUUUUGGACAAUGGGCGCAAGCCUGAUCCAGCAAUGCCGCGUGAGUGAAGAAGGCCUUCGGGUUGUAAAGCUCUUUUGUCAGGGAAGAAACGGUUCGGGUUAAUACCUUGGGCUAAUGACGGUACCUGAAGAAUAAGCACCGGCUAACUACGUGCCAGCAGCCGCGGUAAUACGUANGGUGCAAGCGUUAAUCGGAAUUACUGGGCGUAAAGCGUGCGCAGGCGGUUGUGCAAGACAGAUGUGAAAUCCCCGGGCUCAACCUGGGAAUUGCAUUUGUGACUGUACGGCUAGAGUGUGUCANAGGGGGGUAGAANUCCACGUGUAGCA
rnacentral:rRNA from 1 species